GCGCGAGUGGCGGAACUGGCAGACGCGUAUGGUUGAGGGCCAUAUGCCCGCAAGGGCGUGGAGGUUCGAGUCCUCUCUCGCGCACUA
rnacentral:tRNA from 1 species